rnacentral:rRNA from 1 species
GCAGUCGUACGAGAGUUUUUAACUCAAGUGGCGGACGGGUGAGUAACACGCUGAGAAUCUGCCUUUAGGAGGGGGAUAACAACUGGAAACGGUUGCUAAUACCCCAUAUGCUUUCGAGUGAAAUGGAUUUAUCCGCCUAAAGAGGAGCUCGCGGCUGAUUAGCUUGUUGGUAGGGUAAUGGCCUACCAAGGCGACGAUCAGUAUCUGGUUUGAGAGGAUGAUCAGACACACUGGAACUGAGACACGGUCCAGACUCCUACGGGAGGCAGCAGUGGGGAAUUUUCCGCAAUGGGCGAAAGCCUGACGGAGCAAUACCGCGUGAGGGAAGACGGCCUAUGGGUUGUAAACCUCUUUUCUCAGGGAGGAACUCAAUGACGUGUACCUGAGGAAUAAGCAUCGGCUAACUCCGUGCCAGCAGCCGCGGUAAGACGGAGGAUGCAAGUGUUAUCCGGAAUCACUGGGCGUAAAGCGUCUGUAGGUGGUUUAAUAAGUCAACUGUUAAAUCUUGAGGCUCAACUUCAAAAUCGCAGUCGAAACUAUUAGACUAGAGUAUAGUAGGGGUAAAGGGAAUUUCCAGUGGAGCGGUGAAAUGCGUAGAGAUUGGAAAGAACACCGAUGGCGAAGGCACUUUACUGGGCUAUUACUAACACUCAGAGACGAAAGCUAGGGUAGCAAAUGGGAUUAGAUACCCCAGUUAGUCCUAGCUGUAAACAAUGGGAUACUAGAUGUUGAACAGAUCGACCUGUGCAGUAUUAAA